rnacentral:rRNA from 1 species
UAGGGAAUCUUCGGCAAUGGGGGCAACCCUGACCGAGCAACGCCGCGUGAGUGAAGAAGGUUUUCGGAUCGUAAAGCUCUGUUGUAAGUCAAGAACGAGUGUGAGAGUGGAAAGUUCACACUGUGACGGUACCUAACCAGAAAGCCACGGCUAACUACGUGCCAGCAGCCGCGGUAAUACGUAGGUGGCAAGCGUUGUCCGGAAUUAUUGGGCGUAAAGCGCGCGCAGGUGGUUUAAUAAGUCUGAUGUGAAAGCCCACGGCUCAACCGUGGAGGGUCAUUGGAAACUGUUAAACUUGAGUGCAGGAGAGAAAAGUGGAAUUCCUAGUGUAGCGGUGAAAUGCGUAGAGAUUAGGAGGAACACCAGUGGCGAAGGCGGCUUUUUGGCCUGUAACUGACACUGAGGCGCGAAAGCGUGGGGAGCAAACAGGAUUAGAUACCCUGGUAGUCCACGCCGUAAACGAUGAGUGCUAAGUGUUGGUCUCAUAAGAGAUCAGUGCUGCAGCUAACGCAUUAAGCACUCCGCCUGGGGAGUACGACCGCAAGGUUG